rnacentral:lncRNA from 1 species
GCGAAACUUGGAGUCAUUGCUAAGUCGUGCUGGAAGAAUACUAGGAAUUUGAUUGUGUAGUCAAACUCGUGUUGCAGUGGCCUGUGUACCAAUUUAUUUAUUCGACUGACCUUGGCAUCUUUUGAAUCUUUUCAAGGUGAUUGAUUUUAUUUAUUCUGACAUAAGUCUUUGGUAAUGUCUUUUAAGAUGCCAAUAGCCUUGCAGUUGCUUUGGCAAAAGGAGGAAUUGAUCGUAAUUCUA